CGCGCGAGCCCAGCAGAUGGAGGGCGGUGGCGGCGAGUACCUCUUCCCUGGUUGAAUUUCGCCACUUCGACCCCAGGAGGGUGAUGAUACGAUUUCCGUACGCUCCUGGUGUUUCGCCGUCCCGCGGUAGUUCCUCGGCUACCUUGAUUAGCGACGCGGCUGCUACUUCUUAGCCACCGAAGUGCGCGGCGAAUUGUUCCUUAAAAUCUGGCCAGGGGGUGGUCCCUCAUGAGCAGGCCGAGCUCGAGUCACAUUCCGAGUCCGAGCUCGAGGCGCCCUCCCGGGCAGGGCUCGCGGGAGAUUGCGAUUCCGUGUUGGAGUUCUCCAUCGUCCGGUCGCGGGUGGGGUACCUUUAUUGUCGAUAGUGACACUAGUGACGAGGGCCUCAGGCUUGAUAACGAAUCCGCGGCCAACGGGAGGACUAUCAUAUAAAGAGCAACAGGAUACACGAAAUAAUAUAAUUCUGACUAGGACAACAUAAACGCAAGAAGUGUUGAUAUUGAAAAAAAUAUUUAAUUUUGUAUAUAAAUAUUUUCAUAUUUAAAAAAGUUUCCGGAAGCAGGAAGAUUUACAAACAAAUAAUAUCAUAAACCGAAUGUUUCAUGAUCCUUUUCUAAUUAGAGUGUGUGACAGCAUGUGAGAACGUUUCUUAAAAAUAUGACUUAUUGCAAUUACUUAAUCGCAAUUAUAAACGAUUAAGACCUUCUCACAACGAGGCAAUCUAUCCAAAGUAUAAAACUCGUUAUACUUGAUGAGAAAACAAAUCUCUACUUAGGUUUCAUUUCGUUUCAUCGCGUUCAUAAAAAGUGAAUUUGUAUGAACACAUCGUGCAAUUUAGUAAUUAGGACCGUUGAUCUCGCUGCAACAUAGAUGGAUAGAAAAAAGCCAUUUAAAAUGAUACAACGUCGGGAAGACAAUUAUGAAAAUUAUAAAUGGAACACGAGAUAAAAUUGUUUAAGAUUAAUUCUUCUUUUUUUCUUUUUUUUUUUAAUCGCGAGUGUUUGCAAACGAAGUUUCAAUCUGUUUACAAUGAUAGCAAUGAGAGGAGGAUGUCUAUGAAAGUUAUAAAUGCGAUAUUGAAUAACAUUUCUGCGAGUGGGUUUGUUUUUCGUUACAAAUGUUUUUUAAACGAAUCUGCAAUCUGUUGGAAACUACGGAACAGUAACGGGACGACUGAUAGGGAAAUAAAAAAGAUCGCGUUUUAUUUGAACAGACAAAUCUUUGAAAUCUAUUCGAAAGUCUAUUUGAAAUGGUACGAGCUCGAAAAGAACGGUGAAUACUAUAGAAGAAGGAUUAAUUAAAAUUCUUAUUAAUCUGUACGCUUUGUAUAUUAAAUACCUUGAUCGAUGCCAAGAUAACAAAUUAUUAUACAAAACAGUGAAGUAUCCACGUCUGACAUUAAUAUUGAGUAUUACCAUUACUGUAAUUUAAUUUUUAACCGAUCCUGAAAAUUCCUUAGAACGUAAAAAGUAUAAAAUGUUACUGUGCAUUUCAAGAUUAAAUGCACUGUAAUUUAGAAACAGUUAUGAAGCGGAAACAAAUAAUUUAUUCAGAAUAAGAAUUCUACGUAAUCAUGUUAAAAAAAAAAACGUACUUAUAACGCGUUUAAACUCCAAAUAUGUAAAGACAAUAAGGGAAAAAAAUUAAACGCAGAAUCGUAUUUUUUGUAAAUUCACACAAGAUUUUAUCCAAAAAAAAAAUUAAGAUUUUUUGAAGAACGUACAAGAACAAUAAAAAAGGGAUGUUAAAUACAAAAAAUAGAUUAAAAUUUAGAUUAUGAAAUAUAAAAAAAAUGAUAUUGCAUAAUUUACAAUUAUUUUCGAUAGCUUACGUCAGUAUGUUGGAGUGUAAACUAUAAAAUAUUCAAAAACUGAUACCAUUUAGACAUAAUUUAGAAAAACAAUAAAUUGCGGAAACCGAUAGUUAAAACUCGAUACGAUCGAUACUCCAAAACUCUAAUCCUAAUAAUUACUCAGCAAUAAUAACCGAUAAUUCAUGUUGAUUAAUGUUUGAACUCCGUUUUUUUUCUGUAUGUGUAUACAAAUUUUGUACAGUUUGAUAAAGCGAAAUUAAAUUAUCAUCUUUUUGUACUACUUCAAACAUUGAGAUUUGUCAUCUUCAAGGUCGAUCACACAUAGUUUCAGAUUGCGGAGUUGCAAGGGUAAUUAAUUUUGCAAUCGGUUUUCCUUUGAUAUAGAUGUGAAUACAAAUAGCCAUUGAUUGACAAUAUACCGAAGCAAUUCUAGUUUAAUUUGAAGUCAUCGAUCCUUUGAUAUUUUUGGAAGAAUAGUAAAAGUACAGAGAAAACAAGAAAAAAUGGCGUUAACUAAAAGAUAACUCCAAUGUAUCUCAUAAAUAUUAUCUAUAUAUCAUUUGUAAGAUGUAAGUGACCAAGAUAUCGAAUUAUACAAAAAUUGUAUGUAAUGAUUAAUACUUGAACGUUACUUACAUUUAUGUACAUGAAAAUUUGAUCUUUUAUUAACUAAGUUAUUGAUCGACAAAAUGACUUCCUACAUAAUUCUCCGCCUGAACUGAAAUGCAUAUCUUUUUUUACGCAAGCCUUAUGUGUAGCUAGCAACGAGCAAACAGAUUAAUUACUUUACACACGGUCGUAUCUUGUUUGCUGUAGGCGAGUUCUCUCGUGUAAUCAACGAAGUACUCAACUUUAAAGCGAUAACAGAAGAACAUUAUUGUAUCGAUAAAAAUCAUGCUUUUUUCAAAGAAAUAUGUAACUCGUAUUUUUUUUAAAGCAACCCUCAUAAUGUAUUGAAUAAAAUAAUCAUACAUUUUUUUUUGUUCAACAUUUGUAAAAUACGAUAUUAUCAAGAUCACCAAGGAGGUAAUCUUCAAUUCUUAAUGAAUAUAAUAAAAAACAUAAUUAAUGAUUG